GACCGUGUGGCCCAAUGGAUAAGGCGCUUGCCUACGGAGCAAGAGAUUCUGGGUUCGAUCCCCAGCAUGGUCG
rfam:Physcomitrella patens subsp. patens PHYPAscaffold_87 genomic scaffold, whole genome shotgun sequence.